CAGCAGCCGCGGGAAAACGUAGGUGGCAAGCGUUGUCCGGAAUUAUUGGGCGUAAAGGGCUCGCAGGCGGUUUCUUAAGUCUGAUGUGAAAGCCCCCGGCUCAACCGGGGAGGGUCAUUGGAAACUGGGAAACUUGAGUGCAGAAGAGGAGAGUGGAAUUCCACGUGUAGCGGUGAAAUGCGUAGAGAUGUGGAGGAACACCAGUGGCGAAGGCGACUCUCUGGUCUGUAACUGACGCUGAGGAGCGAAAGCGUGGGGAGCGAACAGGAUUAGAUACCCGUGUAGUCCCUGUCUCUUAUAC
rnacentral:rRNA from 1 species